rnacentral:rRNA from 1 species
UACGAAGGGGGCUAGCGUUGCUCGGAAUUACUGGGCGUAAAGCGUGCGUAGUCGGUUAUUUAAGUCGGGUGUGAAAGCCCCGGGCUCAACCUGGGAAUUGCAUUCGAUACUGGAUAGCUAGAGUUCGGCAGAGGGAAGCGGAAUUUCCGGUGUAGCGGUGAAAUGCGUAGAUAUCGGAAGGAACAUCAGUGGCGAAAGCGGCUUCCUGGACCAGAACUGACGAUCAGGCACGAAAGCGUGGGGAGCAAACAGG